rnacentral:rRNA from 1 species
AGCGAACGCUGGCGGCAGGCCUAACACAUGCAAGUCGAACGAACCUUUCGGGGUUAGUGGCGGACGGGUGAGUAACACGUGGGAACGUGCCUUUAGGUGCGGAAUAACUCAGGGAAACUUGUGCUAAUACCGAAUGUGCCCUUCGGGGGAAAGAUUUAUCGCCUUUAGAGCGGCCCGCGUCUGAUUAGCUAGUUGGUUGAGGGAAUGGCUCACCAAGGCGACGAUCAGUAGCUGGUCUGAGAGGAUGAUCAGCCACAUUGGGACUGAGACACGGCCCAAACUCCUACGGGAGGCAGCAGUGGGGAAUCUUGCGCAAUGGGCGCAAGCCUGACGCAGCCAUGCCGCGUGAAUGAUGAAGGUCUUAGGAUUGUAAAAUUCUUUCACCGGGGACGAUAAUGACGGUACCCGGAGAAGAAGCCCCGGCUAACUUCGUG